rnacentral:lncRNA from 1 species
GAAACAUUCUGUGAACAGAGAUAACUACGUUAUAAAACAGAAAGUUUUAUAGGAGAGGGUAAAUAAAAUGCUGCCAGGUUUCAGAGGAGGGAGGAGUAAUUUCCUGCUAGGUAUCAAAGAAGGCUCUCUGGUGGAUGUGGCAUUAGCUCUACAAAUCUGUAAUAUAGCAUCUUGAGAAUCCAGGUUCUGCAGCACCCCCAGCACCACCUUUUCCCUCCUCCAUAAUGUGGUCCUUUCUUCUCCUCCUCUUUCUCCUACCCAGUAUCACCCAUCUUUUUUGUCAAACUGAGAUCUUGUAUUUUGGGGGGAGCUCCUCUGAGAAAAACACAAGAUUUUCUACAUAGAGGUAGGUUCAUGUGGUUCGAAAUAUUAUUAGAAAUCACACCUAUCCAUCUGGAAGUGUGUGGUUAUAGACACAGAAGAAUCUCAGAGAACAGUAGGCUGGUAGUGGGCUGGUACCUUGGAGGACCAACCAUGGAUAAAGGCCUAAAAGAUCCUCUUGGCAGCAAGAAGAAAAAGAAAUCAAAGAGCCAGGCUUGCUGAUAUGGACAUGCCAUCAGUGAUAGCUGGUUCUUGCAAGAGUUGGGGAUGAAGCCUGGGGAAGUUGCCCUUAACCCCAGGGGUGAGAUUGUGGAUGUCUGCUGGGAUUACCAUAGUACACUGCAUAUCACCUUCCUUGUAUGUGUUCCUGGCACUUCUCUGUGGCAUGGUUCCUCUCAUCCACCUUUUCCUUCUGAGAUACCUCAUCCUGCAGCUGGAAGGAGUUUCUUAGGACAACCUGAAGACACACUUAGGACCCCAGAGGGACAUCAGGACAAAGGGAAGGACAGGCCUCAGGGCCACGAGAAAAUUAACAGAAGAGAGGCCACAUUCCCUCUUCCCAGGCUGGCCCAGUGUGAUUUCCUGACUCACCUGCCCUCUGGCUUCCCUACCAAUUGGUCUAGUUGGAGGCAGUGUUGGAAGAUCAGAGGGUGAGAAGAUGGGAGAAUGGAAAGCACAUCACUCUGUCCCUGGACGUCUCCAGCACUCAUAGUGUCUCCUUCUUGCUCUGGUUCCAGGGGGUGCUCUUCCCUGGGCAACUCCUUCUGGGGGCACCCCUCGGUCUAGAAGGCCUUCUCCACUUUCUGUCACAUGUGUUACUAAUUGCCAUAUUAAACAUCAUCCUUCUGAGAUGUGUAGCGUGAGUUCUGCUUUUUUGACUAGAUCUUGAAUCUC